rnacentral:lncRNA from 1 species
AAAAAGGAAUAAUAAUCUACAAGCAGUGGAAAAAUUUUAAGCAACUAUUUAGCAGUACUGUUAUUUCAUAUUUCAUUUCCACUGGUUUGCAACAAUGUCUGCAAGAUCCACCACCCUCUGUGAGUAACCCCAUUCAUUGUCAUACCAAGCAAUAACCUUAACCAUGUCAUCUCCCAUGACCAUAGUAAGUGAAGCAUCAACAGUUGAUGACACAUCACUGCACCGGAAGUCGACCGACACGAGUGGUUCAUCGCAGACAUCGAGAAUGCCUUUGAGCUCCUUGUCAGCAGCCUCCCUAAAUGCAGCAUUCACUUCCUCAGCAAAUGUCUUCUUGGUGACUUGAACGACAAGGUCCACGACAGAGACGUUAGGGGUUGGCACACGGAGGGCAAUGCCGUUGAGCUUCCCCUUAAGGCUUGGGAGGACAAGGGCCACGGCCUUAGCAGCACCAGUUGAGGUUGGAACUAUGUUGAGGGCUGCAGCUCGUGCACGUCUAAGGUCCCUGUGGCUCGCAUCAAGAAGCCUUUGGUCACCAGUGUAAGAGUGAGUAGUUGUCAUGGUUCCCUUGAUAAUGCCUAUGCAAGAAAAAAUAUUAGUUUAUGAAUUUAAGUUAUAUGCACUGACAGUAAAAGACAGUAAUGCUCGUGUAUAACUAGAUAAAGGUGUAUUACCGAAUUUUUGGUCAAGAACCUUGACAAAAGGAGCAAGGCAGUUGGUGGUGCAAGAGGCAUUGCUGAUGAUUGGUUCAUCAGGGUUGUAGAGAUCAGCAUUGACACCAACAACAUAUGUGGGGAUGUCACCUUUUCCGGGAGCGGUGAUGAGCACCUUCUUGGCUCCGGCCUGGAUGUGUUUUCCGGCACCUUCUCUGUCGACAAACACUCCGGUACCUUCUAUUACCAAGUCAAUCCCAAGAUCUCUGAACACAUUACACAAACAUUUUGAACAUUAGUAGCUGUUAGAGGUUGAAGGGGAGCCUUGGCGUAACUGGUAAGUUGUUGCCAUGUAACCAGGAGGUCACGGGUUCAAGCCGUGGAAACAAUAUCUUGCAGAAAGGGUAAGGCUGCGUACAAUAGACCCUUGUGGUCCGGUCCCUCCCCGGACCCCGCGCAUAGCGGGAGCUUAGUGCAACGGACUGCCCUUUAGUAGCUGUUAGAGGUUGACCAGAUAUCACAAGCUAGUAUUAUACUAGACAGUACAUGAGCUAAGUUAAGCAUGUUAUCAUGAUUCAUUUCUAGCUACUCACUGUUGGACAAUGUUAAAACUUAGAACUACUGUUUCAUAUUUUUGUUUUUUGUUCUCAGCAUAAUGACAAUCACUUGCAAUGCUCGUCCAAGUUGUGCUUGGACCACACAUAUUGCAUUAAUCACACUAAGAACAAAUGGAUUGCUAUUUUGUGAUAAUUCAAAUUUUUGUACAUUGAAAGUAUAAUGAAUCUUUUACACUAUCCAUACUUAGAAACCAAUUAUAGAUGACAACAAAUAGUAAGGUAAAUUUUUUUAACUCGAGAAAAGAGGAUAACUAACUUACUAUAGCCGGUUAAGUUACCGUUAAGAUAUAAAUUUCCUUACAAUAUAUAUAUAUAUGAAUGUAUAUAACUUAAAUCCUUUCAUUACAUGUUAGUAUGAAAGAACUUACCCCCAGGGGAGGUUGACGGGGUUGCGGUUGGAGACGACUUGGAUGACUUUUCCGUCGACGGAGAUGCCGUCAGUGCCGACAGGCUUGACGUCAGCAUCAAAGAUGCCAAGGGUGGAGUCAUAUUUGAGAAGGUGAGAGGCUUGCUUGACACCACCAGUGUCAUUGAUGGCAAUGACAUCAAGGGGAGAGUCUUUCCUACCAUGCCAACACCUCAAGAAAUUCCUUCCAAUUCUUCCAAAUCCAUUGAUGGCCACUUUCAACUUGGCCUCCACUACUCCCCUCUUGUUGUUCCCUCCUCCAAUCUACAGUUUAUAAAUCCAAUUCCAUGUAAUUAUCACAAGAAAUCACUUGUUAUACAAUAACAACAACAACAACAAUAACAACAACAACAACAAAAAACACAGUGAAUUCCCACAAGUGGGGUCCGGGAAAGGUAGUGUGUACGCAGACCUUACCCCUACCUUUAGAAGGUAGAGAGACUGUUUUCCGAAGACUCUCGGCUCAUGAAAGAUAAAAGGAGGGGCAAUGACAAGCAAAUAUCUUGUUAUACAACGACCAAAAAUCAAAAUUGUGGAAGUACAAUUUAGAUGUUAUACAAUGUUAUCAUUAAUUUAUGUGGUUUAAAUUCUCUUUAAGAGUAGUGUCUGUUCUUCCUUCAAACUUAUGCAAUUACCAAUUUGCAUCAAGAUUUUGUGAGGGGCCAUUUUCUUUUUCUUCUAAAGAUCUAUUUCUAACUCUCUUUGCUAACAUUAGAGCACAAGAAUUGCACUUACUUGAGCAUUAGCAAGAAUAUAGAAGUACCUCAAACUUUUCAGCUCUACUUAGCCAUUGGAUUUCAAGUACUAUCAAGAAGACUAACAGUUAGAGACUUAUUCCUUAAUCACAAUAGACAUGAAGUAUACAUAUUCUUAUUUUCUUCUUCUUUCUCUUAUUUUAUUGGAUUUAAGUAAUAUACACUGUGUUACACUAUUAUUAUAGUUUAACAUGUGAUAGCAGAUUAGUUACCACGGUUGUUAAGUUACCAAUUAAUGCUUGUCAUAUAUGCUUGUACUUAUCUUAUAAUUUAUCUGAUAUCGUUAUGCUUGAAUAAGUUAUUAAACUCAAUCAUUCAAAGAUAAAAAUGCAAUAAUAGUACUCACAACAGAGGUUUGGAAAGCAACAACAGAGAGCAAGUCAUCAUUAGUUUUUCUUCCAAAUGGAAUAGCUGAUGAGGUACGCAGCCCUGAGAAUUCAGAGAAUCCUUUGUUGCUGACCUGCAUUUUCAUCAAUACAACAAACAUGAACUCAACAAAAAUGUUCAUUGAUCAAGUUAAUAACAAGAAACAACAACAACAAAAAAAAAAACCAGCGCAAUCCCACAAAGUGGUGUCUCGGGAGGGUACAGUGUAUACGCACACCUUACCCCCUCCUUUGUGAAGGUAGAGAAGCUGUUACCGGCAGACAAUAACAAGAAAAAAGGAACAAUAUUAAUUAUAUGAGUAAGUGAAAGAAGGACCUGGAGAGAAGAGUUGGCUACUGUGAGAGCAGCCGAAGCCAUUGUUCUUUUUAGAAAUGCAGCAGAAGAAUGUGGUAUUUGGUGUGGAAGUUUAAGAAAUAUGGAAGGUAUAAGGGGAUGAGUAGGACAAAAUGGAUGGAGGGAAGAAAAUGGAUGAGAUUAUGGAUCAUAGCAGAUAGAUAGCCUCUCACUCAUUGUAUGGCUGUGGUUGCCUACUUGCAUGUUCUUUUCCUUAUGUGCUAGACCUUUUAUUUUUUCAAGUAUCCGGAAUCUAUUGGUCCGACUAAUCUAGAUGCGUAUAUGUUUCUCACUUUUUUAAUAAAUGAGUUUAACUUCUUGAGCCGAGGUCUAUCGGAAAUAAACUCUCUACCUUUUUAAAGUAAGGAUAAAGUCUGCGUACGCAUUAGCCUUCCCAGACCCCACUUGUAGAAUUACGUUGUGUUCGUUGUUAUUGUUGUUGUUGUAAUGAGUUUAACUUCUAAACACCAAAAGCGUAAACAACUUUACAUUAUCACUUAAAAGAUAAUUGCUAGUAAUUAUCUUUAACAAGUAAAAUUAGGAACAUGAAAAAUAAGGCAAAUAACCUACUAGGACAAGGCAAAUUAUAUUGAUAGUGUAAAAGUUCUUGUCACUGUAUAUAAAUUAAAACCUUAAUUUAUUCAAGGCAGUCUCUAUUUUUAGAAAUUCGUAUUAUUAUACUUCUGUUUUAUUUUAGCUGAAUUAUAUGCUAAAUCAUGUGAAGAGACCUUGUAAUUUUGUUUUGAAUGUCUAUGAGACCAAAUUUUUGAGUGACAUCUAACAUUAAGAACUCUGACUUUUUAAAAUAAAACUUGGAGAUUUGAGAAACAAUGUUGAAAAAAUCAAGAUUUUAUUUUUAUUUUCUUGAAAUAUUAAUUAUACAUAAAGAAAUAUUGAUAUGUCGUAUGAAAUCUAAUUCAGACUCUUUUUGUUUGACUCUCGAAAGUGAAAUAUGAUUAUCAUUUAAAUGGUAAUUCACAUUUAUAGUUUUAUGUGAUCAAUAAAGAAAAAUUCUUUUUCUUUUGUUGUCAAAGAGUUGUUUUUGUUAUUUUAUGUUUCUUUUCUUAUUUUUCUUCUGUUAAAUUUUAAAGGUCCAUAUAAAUUGGUCAGGUCACAGUUAUUGCUAUCCAUAAAAAUUGCCACCUUGUCACUGAGACUCCCUGCCAUUGGACUGCCAAUGACUAGAAAUCCUUUGUCCAUAUCUAACCUUAUUACCUCAUUAAAAGAAUGUAUUUCUUCACCUUUGGUCCCAAUAAUAUUUUGUAAGGACUUCAAAAGGAACAAUGUUAUAAAAUUGAAAGAAACAUCAAUCCUAUUGCACAAAUUGAGAGUGAAAUUUGUGGCUUCAAAAAGUUUUCUUCCUUUAUGUGAUAUCUACCCAUAUCCUUUGGAUUUAAAAUAAUGUUACUACCAUUUUAUCAAUAAUUUGUUAGUAAAUCUUUUUCUACUGUGGACGAUGGGACAAAUUAAAUUAUUCUUUCCUCUCUUCUCCUCCUUGUUUACUCGGAAGUCUUAAUUCUAUGGUAAAAAAAUGUUGUAUAAAUAAUUAACAUUCAAAAAAAUAUUGUGUAAUAAUUAAUCUUUUUAUAUUGUAAUAGUAUCCCAAUCAAAGAGCUAACAAUAUUCUGAUCUAAGGAACAUGCCAUAACAAAGGGAUAGUCCAUCUACGCAUAUCAUUUGUUUUAUUCCUCUAUUUGGGUUUAGUUUCAAGAAACACAUUAUAUAAAUUGUCAAAGAAGAUAAUAAGUGUAAAUGAUAUUGCUAGGUAUAGUCUAAAGCUGUCAAGCGGGCCGGGCUGGCCCGGUUCCGGACCGGCUCGAUAGUAAAGGGCCGGGAAGGGCUGGAUUGGGACGGGAACCGGAAUGUGCCGAGUAGUUUUUUGGUACCGGUUAACCGGACCGAAACGACCCGUUAUGGUCAAGUCACAUGGGAACCAGUUAACCGGACCGCCCCGACCCGGUUCAAUGGCUAUUUUUUGAUUUUUUUUUAAUUUUAUAAAGUUCACGAUUGUUAUACAAAAUAAAUAAAUAAAUAAAUAAACUCGGCCCGGCCCCUUAGGCCCGGAACCGUUCCGGUUCAAUAUUUGACCGGAUGGUCCCGGACCCGUUAAGCCCGGUUUGGAAAAACCUGUAACCGGCCCGGAUUGGUGACCGACCGGUCACUUUUUUAAUCAACCCGGCCCGGCCCACCCCUUUGUCACCUAUAGUAUAGUGAUACAUCUUUAUAACAGUAUCUCUAUAAAACAGUCAUUAACUAUAAAAGUCAAUUUUUUCUCGGAACCGAUAUUUAUGUUAUGUUAUAAUAUAUAUCAUCUAUAUAUAACAACACUUCACUAUAGCAACCAAAAAAUAUCGGAACAAACAAGACUGUUAUAAAAAGAUUUGACGGCAUAUUAUUGUAAUAUGAACUGCAUUUCUGACAAAACAUAUUAUACAAUGCUUCUCAUAUUAUGUGUAGAUGUAUUUCUAGGUAAUUUGAACUGCAUUUCUCUCGAUCAAAUUAUACAAUUCUUCUCAAUUUUCCUGACUAAUUUACAAACGUGGUCCGGGACUUCUUCAUUAGACCACUCUAAUGAAUGUAGCAAUUCCAAUUAUGAUAUAAAGAAGAUACAUUUGAACAACUACACUUCAUAAAAUCAAAGGUUUUGUGAUGUUCUGGUAGUUUUUCUCGUUGGCCGCCACACCCCACUAGCAGUUCUGAUAGUCUUAGGAGGGUCCUUCAGAGAUGUAGUAAGCUGAACUUCCAGUUUUGAAGGGUCCAAAGACAGCAUUUCGCGGAUAAAAUCAUCUAAAUCGAAACCACUUCCUGUAUCUAUGCUAUUGUCCUUGUUGUUAGCCGAGGAGGAACCGGCCGAUUCUUCUGUGCUGAUGUUAGUCGAGGAGGAGCCGGUUGAUUCUUCUGCGCUCCCAUCAGUGUCAUCUCCAGCAGUAGUAUUAGAAGACUCUUUUACCUUGUAAUAAGAGUUCUGAUCCAAAUUCAAGAGCCUCUUUAUGCUAUCAAUCGCCGGAUCAAUGACAUCUAAGAAACCCAUAAUCCAUGACUCAUCAUCGACAACUUCAGUACGCUGUUACACAGGGAAAAAGAGAUCAUAUCUCAGUCUUCACUGAACUUAUCUAGCUUCAUUGGUUCUUGUUAUGACUCUAUUUCUGAAGCUUAAACGCCAUUUAUUACUUCUAAGAUAGGUGAUUAACGCCACAACCAUUGUCAAAGCGUAAACAUAGACAUCUAUUGGUUGGAUUAAGCAGAAAUAAUGAAUAUUGAGAACACUGCUAAAAAUGUGCUCGUUCAAGGAAAUCGCUUGUAUUAAUGAGGAAUACUCAUUUACCUGCUGAAAGUAGAGGUUACGAAUUUCCUCUGCACGAACGGAGUUACCUUGAUCUUCCUCCAAAUUUGCCCAUGUCAUCCAUGUUAUAUAGCUCUGAGAGUUUAUGUUCAGAGAAGAUCUAAAUAAUCUUCGAGCAGCUGAUAGAUUUCCAGCUCUUUGCUCCAAAACACCCCAAGCCUACAAAGCACAUCAAAUUAGUAAAGAACUCAGUACAUUUCCUAUGGGACACAUAACCUCCAUAGUUUAAGAUGCACGCCAGAACUAUGAGUUUUAGGAAAAACAAACUAGAAAAUUACUAUUAAUUUGAGAUUAACAUUACCUGAAGACAGCGGGCAGCACUUUCAGUUGUUGAAUUGAUCGACAGAGCUCUCUGGUAUAGUUCCCUAGCAGUGGAAACGUUCCCUUCUUUCCACUCCAUCCAACCCCAAGCCUAAAUCAGUACCAAGUUUAGACAGCAUUUGGUGCGCGCAUUCAUGUUGACGAUAAUGGAUAAUUGUGGAGGAAGUAAACUUCUCCCCCACUUAGAAAAAGGGAAAAAUAAAAUAUGAAUAUGGACUCAUCGGAAAGGGAAAAAAGCAAAAGCGGAAAAGAAAAACAGUAGACGUUCCACCUUAACUGAAUAGGGGAGUGAAGCAUCAGUACAAACUACAAAGAAAAGCUUUGAUUCCUAAAGGACUACAAUAGACAAAUGCGGCUUACAAAAAUUCAGAGGGAAAGAAAAGGAAAGCUGGAUUGAAUCAAUUAGUUGCAAUUAAGAGGAGCUGGCUCCUAAGUGAAUCUUGACAAACAAAGACAAUCCUUGAGAGGAUUUGAAACUACAACUUCGACGUACUCUCUUUUCUACACUAAAGAUAACCUAUAGAAAGAUGGAGCACAGGUAAAAGAUAGGUCAUGAAUAGAGGCUUAUCAACUUGUAGUUUCACUCAUCAAACUCAACUUUUCCUUGUUGCCCUAUUAUUUUGCAUUGAUUACUCACUCCAGGAAACUCCCUUGAUUUUCUGAUACUACUCUCUGUUAAAAAUGCAUAGGAUAGGUAUUGAAUUGUUCAUUAUUCCUUUUUCUUGGUUGUCAAAGUUACAAGUUUUACUAUCUUAGACUGUUGCAUGGAAACAAAUAGAAAAGCUCUGUCGGCUUCAUCAAUUUAGUAAUCUCUUUAAGUCUUUCAUCUUCUAUAUACCAUGUUAAGCGCUUUCUUUCUUUUAGUGAGUCUUUCAUUUGACAAAGGUUGUAAAGGAGGUCAGUCGAUUAUUCGGUUGAAAAUUAAGAGCAUUCGAAAAAGAAACAACAUGUAGGAUUACUUCUAACUUCUGUAGAAAAAAUUUAAAAUUUAAAAGAAAAGUCUUACAAUCCAAACUGGUUGAUGCCUUGGAUCCAUUUCAGAUGCCCUCCGGAAUAAAACUCGUGCGAGGUUUGCACUGGAGUGCUUGUAUUCUAUCAAAGCAAGUGACUGGAGAAGAACAGGAUCUCUAGGAUUUACCAUAUGCCCUAUUGUCAGAAGUUUCCUUCCUUGGUCAAUGUUUUCAAGAUUAGCUUCAAAAACUCCCCACACAUGCCACGCAAACCGAUUUUUUGGACUGGCCUGAACUGCUUUCUGCUUUGUCAGGAGUAUCAAAUACAAGAAAAAUAAACAAAUUGAAAUUAAAAGUAACAAAGGCAUCAAAUAAAUAGGAAAUGCUCAAUGAUGAUAGAAACGUAGAUCAACUUCAGAAAAUACAAACCUCAAACAGCUGCCUAGCAGCACGGUUAUUCUCCAACUGAGCCUCUAGUUGAGCCCAUGCCUACGCAAGAGAGUACAGAACCACUAUAAGGAAUCCACCAAAGACAUGUUUACGAACCAUAGCCAAGACGGAUUAAAGUUUUUGGAUAACUCUUACCAGCCAACUAGCACAACUUUUUCGGUUACACUUUGUAGCCUGUUUGAACAAAUAGCGGGCUCUUUCAUAUCGUUUUGCUUUAGCUUCAAGGAGUGCAAGAGUUUGGUAUACGUACUCGUUACCUCCACAAAACUUGAGGCCUUUUCCAAGAAGAUUUCUUGCCUUUUUUAUAUUCCCUUGCUUCAGCUCUAAAACUGCCCAUCCAUGCCAGGCUGCAAUAUGCUUCUUGUCAGCAACUGUGGCAGCAUCGAAUAGUUCUCUAGCUCUCCGUAUAUUACCCAUCCUAUUUUCCAGAAUAGCCCAGCACUAGUCCAAAGGAGUAAGUUUGGUGAACUUCUGAUACAAAAGAUAAGUUGCAAGAAGACAUGUAGUAGGUCAUAUUGUUUUCAAUGUAGGCACAUCAUUUGCAAAUGGAUAAUCUGACCUUGAAUCCUCUUUAAAUUAAUUCUUUCUAUCCACUAAGAAUACCUAACAGACUCAAGGACCAAUCCACUGAUCCAUGUUAAGACUUAGGAGACAGUCAAGGAUUUCUGAUGAAAAUUCUCUUCUUCGGUAUUUGAAAUUUUGAACUUUAUUAAGAGAAGCAUUACCAAACGACCUUAGACAUGAUCAGUGGCGGAGCCAGAAUUUUCACUAAGGAGAAUCAAAAUGUAAAUAAGUAAGCAUGCAAAGAAAUCAAGGGGAGUCGACAUAUAGUAUAUAUAUAUAAAAAAUAAAAAUUUAACCUAUCUACGCAGUGUAAUUCUUUGACGAAGGGGUGUCACUUGACUCCCCUUGCUAAUGAGUCGCUCCGCCACUAGGCAUGAUUUUGCCCGUUGCAAGGUGAAUAAUUGCAAAAAAUUGUCAAGUUUGUAUAUGAAUCAGCUGUUCCACAUGCCCAAAUUUCUUUAAUGUACAAAGUUAAAGAUCACUAAGAAACGGAACAUAAUAUACUAUAAAUGAUCUUUACUCCAUCAAGGAAUAUGAUAUUUGUUUAAGUUGUAAAUCAUUAGUACUAAAUCUGCUAUCAAACACAAGUAAAAACUAUGUGCUUAAACAACAUAUUCGACGGACUUGAUAAUCAAAUUAUGCAUUACAGUAUGCUAGUAGAGAAACUUUUAACUUACAACAGAUUCCUAUUCUAGCUCAAGAUUAACGUAUAAUAUGGAAGUAUAAGAGACUAAAUACACUCAUAACACUGUUAUAACACUAACCUGCCAAAUGUAAGGAUUUUCUCCUUGUGUUGCCUGGCAGCCUUUUUCGUAAACAGUUCUGGCUUCAUUUAAUUUUGAUUGCUUACUCAAAAUCUUUCCCAAAGCAACAUAUGGUCUCCCAUCUUCUGGCCAGACAUCGAUACACUCCAUGCGUAAAAUAUUCAGAAAUCAGUAACAUUAUUAACAAAUAAUGAAGCGUCCUCUGGAUAUCAAGAGAAAAUAACAAGGAAUGGUAAUUUUAUUUUUUUUGGGAUCGACGAAUGCUACCUGUUGCAAAAUUUUCUCUGCAUCUGCGUACUGAUACUUUCGAGCCAAAAUCUUUGCCCUAUAUAGAGCUAAGUCUAAAUUGACUUUAAGUGGCUUCUCUCCAGAACCUGAUUCCAGCCUGUUUGGCUCAAACAUUGGCAUCUUCUUUGCAAAUUUCCUAAGUCCAUCAUCAAGUGGAAAUGACGAGGAAGAUGGCUGCUCUUCCAAGAGAUCAUUUCUGUCUUGAGAAUUCUCAAAGUUACGCAUCUCUUCCCCUUUUUCAUCACCAACUUCCCCAUAAGGGUCCUUCACCGGCCUACGAAUCACAAGUAAUUCUUCUAAGGACUUCUUUGUAGUGCUGAUCUCAUCAGCAACUUCAUCAGCGUAACGUCUAUCUUGGCUAUCAAACUUAGAAGAAGAUCUUGAUGUUUCUGGAUUCUCUUCAAGAAGUGGUGAUGAGGAAGAUGACUCAUGGGAACAAAAGGGAGGUAAAAGAGGAUGUGAAGACGAUGGUUGGGAUGUUCUGAAGGGGACGGAAAAAUGAAACUUUGAAGAAUUGUGGUUCUGAGAAUGAUAGAAGAGAGUGAAAUUAGAGCUCGAAGGAGAAGUAAAUGAAAAUUGACUCAUUGCUUUUCCUGUAUCUACGCUUGUUUUGGUAAAACUGUUCUACAAUUUACGGAAGACAAUGUUCUACACAUGUUCUGGUGAGGUUCUGGAGAAAGGAAAAGAUUAUGUGUAAAGAGUCACUGAGAUCCUAUAAUUAGUAAGAAUGUAGAUCACAUCGGUUUCUAUCUUCACAGGAGAUGAAAGAAUAAUAACGAAAAGAAAGAUCGAUUCUUCGGGAUCCUUCCUUUGUUCAAAUGGAACGAAAAGAGAUAGAAUAAGGCCAAUUCCUGAAAUGCUUUUCUGGAUAUUCUUCAAUGUCCCGGCUGCUGAUCAGCUUCAGAAGUUGUAAGAAAAUAGAUGCAUAGCUGAAACUUAUUGAUAGUUCAACGGAUUCUAAGAUGAAAAGGUUUAUUUGAAGAUCUUCAACUGCCCUUUCUCAUAGAAAAGAUUACUCCAUCAGGCAUGCAUUCAUCUGUUUCAAUCCAAGAGUAUUCUGUUACUUUAAAAUGGAAAAAAGACAAGAGAAGAUGGGGGGAAACAAUUUUCUUCAUCCCUAUUACAUACUUCCAUUUAAAAACCGCCAAGAAUGUUUCUAUACUUCGAGAAUUCAAAUACAUUACAUAAGCCAAAUUUAAUCUAUAAUGGGAUGUUUUCUUACCACUGAAGCUUCGUAUGCAUUGCUAAAUCAAACUACCUUCUCAGUCUUGUGCCUAUUCAGAUUACUACGCUAAAAGGACGCAACAACAACAACAACAACAACAACAACAACAACAACAAAAAACCCAGUGUAAUCUCACAAGUGGGACUGGGGAGGGUAAUGUGUACGCAGACCUUAUCCCUACCUUGUGAAGGUUGAGGGAUUGUUUCCGAUAGAACCUCGGCUCAAAGAAAUAUGUUAAAAGGACGCAAAGCGACUAAAAGGAAAGAAACAUGAUCCACACCUUAAACCUUUAAAAAUAAUGAUCAGACAGCUUGAUAAGUCAUACAAAUUAAAUUACUUUGAUAUAUAUCAUUAAAUCUCUCAGACUAGUUAAACUAACUUAGUUAACCUUCGAAUAUUCAAAUUCGAUUAACAUGCAGCUAAACUUAUAGUUUGCUAGGGGAAAGAAAAUCAAAGUGCGUCCUUGCUUUACUCAUUUAAGCUUAAAAAAAUUGUCUCAUUAAAGAAAAAAGGACUAUAGUCUGCAAAUACAUAUCUAUCAGCAUUUGUGAAAGAGAAGUGAAGUAAAAUGUGAAACUUACUAGUACUACUGAAGGUAAAGAAAACCACUGAUUUCCCACCAAAUAUGAGAAUUCUUGUUUCUUGAAUGCCACCUGUGUAAACUUGGAGAUGGGGUUGGUUUGUUGGGGUGAAUAUGCAGAGUGAGAAGAAGAAGAAGAAGAAGAAGUUAGUAAAAGGAUGAAUGGAAGUAUUGAAGUGUUUACUGUAGGUGCAGGCAAAGUGACAGAAGUGGAUGAGAUUGUUGAUGACUUGGAGAUUGCAUUUGGCUUUACUCUUUAACUGAAUGGCUGUGGUUUGUACGUGUAUGCACCUUCACCCCCUUGUGUUUCUUUUGUGUUUCAUUUUUCAUCCUUCGUUUUCUUCUACUUUCUUUUAAUUGACAGUAAUAGUUAAGUUAGAUUAGUUAUCAUUUAUAUCAAAUUAAUAAUUAAUAAUUAAUAUUUAUUAUAAAAGUUUUAUUUAUAAGUUAUAACUAUCCGAAAGGUUAACCUGUGGUGGGAGUCGGAGAAAAAUCAACUUCACCCCUGAACUAUCUGAAAGGUGCAUAUUUGCCCUUAAUUUUUAAAAGAAAUUACUAUAACUUAAUUGUGGGAUACGUGGGGACAAAGACGGAUCCAAGAUUUGGAGGCUCCGGCCUCCGGGUGCCAAACUAAUCGAUUUAAUUAAUUUUGGCUUUGGGAUUCUAAUGGGAGCGAGGAUUUUGAAAAGGAAAUGUUGUUUUAAUUGUGGGUGUAAAAAACAAAUAGUACAAAGAGACCGAAAAAAAAAUCAAGAUUUACUAACAAAGAAAGAUAUAGAGGCCGUUUGAAUGAGUUUGUUUAAGUGACUUUUAAACCAAAAAUCAUAAGUUAGGAAUUCUAGCUUUUGACUUAUUUUUGUCAUUUUAGCUUAAAAACAAGUGUUUAAAAGUACUUUUUUACUUUAUCCAAACAUUACAAAAUGGCUUAAAAGUUGUUUUAGCUUUAAAAAUAUUUAAAAUAAGCCAAUUCAAAUGAGCUCAUAGUCAACAAUAAUUAAAUAAAGAAAAAUAAGGAGAAUAGAAUAUAAUUGAAGAAAGAAAAAUAAGUGAACACUAAAGUCAAAAUUUACUAAGAAUACGUAGUGAUGCAGCAAGCUAAAAAGGUUUUAAAAAGUGUUGUCUCAACUGUUCGAUUACUCACUGCCAAGAAGGAUUUAUCAGCUAUUUACCACUAAGCACCUUAGUAUCUUUUGUUACUUUGGGUGGCACUCGAAAUAUUUAUCAGAUUUUACAGAUAUGCAUACAUAUAUAGUUAAGGUUUCGAACAAAACUUGCGGGUGGUGUAUCACUCCCACGGGCCUUAGUAGAUCCGCCUCUGUGUGAAAAUCACGGGGUGCUAAGCUUUCGAAGUUUAAUCUAUAUCUAUCUAUCUAUCUAUACUAUAUUAAAGCACGAAUACGCUAUCGAAAUGUCGUUCGCUUUUUUUAUCCUUCGUAUUAAAUGAUGGAUAUAAAUGUAAUUCUAAUAACUAUUUUCUUGAAAAGAAUGAGCAGAGUUUACAUUGUUUGGAAUUCUUCCCUACGCGGUUUAUGUCUCUUUUAUAUCAGUUUUAAUCAAUUUCCAUUGACUCUUUAGUCUUGGUUUAGGAUUCAAUUUCUUCUUAGUUUAUUGACCGUAUUAGGAUUGUCCUCGUGUCUUUACUUUACAUUCCUUUUGUAUUAGUUUUGGAUUUCAUCUCAACUUAGUUUAUUCUAUUUCUUCUUAGUUUAUUGACCGUAUGGUCCCCUUCGUCUCUUUACUUAGUUUUGGAUUCAAUUUAUGUUUCUAGAAUUUUACACUGACUACUUCUAUAAAAGAAGCUAUUAUUCUUCCUUUUUUUUUGGUCAUAAACUGACAUUUACAUAGCAGACUUGCUUGUCACUUGUGGUACAUUUCUAUCUUGUACUAUAUUCUUAAAGUCAUUUAAUAAUGGAUGUUCGUGCAUUAUCACUCUUAGUUGAAUGAUUGUAUCAAACCAAUCAAUCUUUUAAAAUUUUCCCUUAUGUUCUAUUCCAAUUUGCCAUCACAAAUAGCUACAUGAUUGUUCCUCAAAUCUUCUCCUUCUGAUGUACAUUUAGUUUAUUUCUUCCUUCUUUUUGUUGGUAUUCGUUUUUGGUAAAUUUUUGCUUUUGAUGUUAGAACUGUUAUUUGAUAAUUGAUAAUUGAUAAACAACUAAAUCGAAAGUUUUCAAUUAUGAUUUUUGUUUAGAAUGUUUAUAAUAUCUCAUAUAUCAUCAUUGGUUUAUGUCUCAUGAAUGAUAAUUGGUUUAAAAUUGACUCAUUUACGAAUGUUGUACAGGUUGUUUGGAUCGUUGCAUUCAUCACAUACAAUUGGUUAGGUAUUCUAACUCAUAUCAAAUUAAUAUUUUAUUAAUUUAAUAUUUUUAUCACUCUAUGGUUGAUAUAUAAUUUUAAUUACUAAUUGUUAUGCCACCUCAAGUUGCUCAUAUUUUCUCAGAAAAAAAUGAAUUUGAUUACCUUUUUUAAUUGAUAAUAGUAUAUAUAUCACAAUUUUGAAAUUGUGUUUUUAAAGAAUAACCCUUGGCAAUUAGCGUCGUUGAAUCUACACAAAGUUUUGACAAUUUUCAUUGGUUUAGGCAAACAAUUCUCCUUAUCAAUCUCAUAAAUAGUAUUUUAUAUAAUUGUGAUGACCCAAAAUGUCAUCUCUAAAUUUAAUAAUUAAUUUUAUGUUCUAAGACCUCAAAAAGUACUAUUUAUCAUUACCCGACUUGCGUGCACAUCCCAUAAAAUUUUUUAAAAAGUUUUUAUGUGAAAAAUGGAUUAAAAUGUGAAUUAGAGCUUUAAAACUCAACUGAGUUGACUUUGGUCAACAUUUUGAGUAAACGGACUCGGAUCAGUAUUUUGAAAGUUUUAGUAAGUCCGUAUCGUGAUUUGGGACUUGGGCGUAUGCCCGUAAUUAAAUUCCGAGGUCCCUAGCACGAGAUAUGGAAUUUUGAUGAAAAAUUAAAGGUUUUAAAAGCUUAAGCCAAAUAGUGACCGGAUAUCGAAUUAUAUGCAGACAACCCCGGAAUAGAAUUUUGAUAAUUCCAACAGCUCCGUAUGGUGAUUUUGGACUUAGGAGCGUGAUCGAAAUUUUAUUUGGAAGUCCGUAGUGAAAUUAGGCUUGAAAAGGCUAAAAUAGGAAUUUAAGUUUGGAAGUUUGACCCGGGAGUUGACUUUUUGAUAUCGGGGUCAGAAUCCAGUUCUGAAAAUUUUCACAGUUCUGUUAUGUCAUUUAUGACUUGUGUGCAAAAUUUGAGGUCAAUCUGACUUGAUUUGAUAGGUUUCGACAUCGAAUGUAGAAGUCGAAAAUUCUAAGUUUCAUUAAUCUUGAAAUCGAGCAUGAUUCGUAUUUUUAGCGUCGUUUUAUGUGAUUUUAGGUUUCAAAUAAGUUCGUAUGAUGUUUUAGGACUUGUUGGUAUAUUUGGUUGAGGUCCCGAGGGCCUCAGGUGAGUUUCAGAUGGUUAACGGAUAAAAAUUUGGACUUAAAACGUUGCUGCAAUUUUUCUCUUCUGCUGGAUAUUCUGCGCAGUGAUCGAGCCCAGAUAUCGAGCCAGGGUCGACGGCCAGGGUCUAAUCCAGAGACGAGGCUGAGGAUCGAUGCCAUGAUUGAAGGCCCAGGCUCGAUGCCAUGAUUGAGGCUAUGAUCGAAGGCUCACGCUCGAUGCCAUGAUCGAGGCCAUGAUCGAAGGCCCAGGAUCGAGGCCAUGAUCGAAGGACCGGGCUCGAUGCCAUAAUCGAGGCCAUGACCGAGGUCCCUGCUCGAGCCUGUGAUCGAAGCCACGAUCGAGGCCUAGGCUCGAGGGCCAUGAUCGAAGUUACGAUCGAGGCCCAGUUCUGAAGACUGCCUGGGCAGAUUUAUAAAAGAGGGCAUUCGUCCCAUUCGUCAUUUUUAACAAAUUGGAGCUUGAGCAGAGGUGAUUUUUGAUAGAUUUUUAAGGAAAGACAUUGGGGGUAAUUGAUUCUAACUCGGAUUUGGUCUAUAUACAUAAAUAUAUUAUUGUUUUCACCAUUUAAUUAGUGUUUUGAGAUUGAAAUUUUGAGAAACUUUUAGAAAUCUCAUAGAAAUGAAUUUUUGAGAUUUCGGUGUCGAUUCAGAGUUAGAUUUGAGUAAAACCGGUAUGGUUGGAUUCGUAAUUGAAUGGGUUAUCGAAUUUUAUGAGUUUCACCGGAUUCCGAGAUGUGGGCUCCACAGACAAUUUUUGAGCUAAUUUCGGAUUUUAUUGAAAAAUGUAGUAUUUCCUUAUGAAAUUGAUUCCUAUAAUUUUUGUUGAUUAUAUCGAAUUAAUUAUGACUAGAUUCGAGCCGAUCAGAGUCAGAAAAUCGAGGAAAAAACAUACUACUUGGUUAAAUUGGAGCAAGUCGAGGUAAGUGACUUGUCUAACCUUAUGUGGGGGAAAUUUCCCCUAGGAUUGGUAUUAAUUAUAAUAUGAUAAAAGUCGUGUACACGAGGUGACGAGUGUGUAUACAAACUAAAUGUGAAGGAUUAUGUUUUUAAAUUGUGUAGAUCACUGUUGCAUAUUAAUUAAAUUAUUAAAUCUUGUUAUAUUCUCCAUCAUUGAUUUGAUUUAUAUACUUUAAAUUUGCUUGACCUUUUCCUGCUGAUUGUUUUUUUUGUUUAGUUGGAACUUGGUUUCCUUUAUUCUGUGCAUUAUUUGAAGUUGAUUUUCUUUAAGUUAAAUAUUAUUAAUAUAAAGUAUUUGACAUUUUUAAAUUUGGUAUUAAAGCAAUGUAUUAAAGACUUUGAAAUAUUAUUUUGCUGAAUUAUUUAUUCCUAAAUAUUUUUGUAAGAUUUUCGUACUCAUUGUGAUGGAGCCGUGAGCUCUUUAUUAUGGAAAAAUAUUGUUAUUGAAUUAUUUUGGCAAGUUAAAUUAUUUGAGCACUUGAGGUGCAAAUUGUGAUAUAUUGUGAUAUUAAUACGCAUGCGGUGGUAUAAGGUCUGGGUAUUGAAACGCAUGCGGUGAGAUAAGGGUGACUUGAUACGUGUGGCUAAUAGGGGGAACUACUAGAAGUCAUGCGGUAUGAUAAGGAUGGCUAAAACGGGGGAUGUUAUUUCGGAAAAAAUAUUUUCUUUAAAAAUAAAUUGUGAAGGCUCCCGCGGUGAGAUAAAGAAAUGAGAUAUUGUAAAUUUAUUUAUGAUUUGGGACUACGAGGCGGUACCUCGGGAGUGCCCUUGUUGAUAUUGAUUUAUGGCCGCAGUUGCCUUUGAUUAUUUGUUGUGAUUUUUUUAAAGUUGAAAGGAAAUUUUGUUUGUUUCCACGAGAUACUAAUUGCCAUUAUUUUGUGUAAUUAAAUGGUUACCUGCUACUUGAUUCAUUUUCAUUGUCAUUUAUUUUAUUAUAUUAUUAACAUUUUACCAUGCUAUUAUUAUUUUCCAGUAGGGCCUCACCUGACCUCGUCACUACUCUACCGAGGUUAGGCUUGGCACUUAUUGGGUACCACUGUGGUGUACUCAUACUACGCUUCUACACAUCUUUUUUGUGUAGAUCCAGGCACACCUUAUCAGACCAGGCAUCAGUAAACUAGCUGUACGAGGAGACUUCGAGGUAUAUCUGCCAGCGACCGUAGACUCCGGAGUCCCCUUCUAUCUUACUAUGUUAUCUUCCUUAUUUGCUUUAGACUCUGAUGUAUAGAGACAUAGAGAAUAAAUUCUUAGAAGCUUGUGAUUUAUUUUUACUGGGUUUUGGGAGUUGAAAUUAUUUGAAUUGUAGUUUAUUUAUUUCAGAUUUAAAUUUUUAUUCUGCAUUGAUAGGCUUACUUAGUAUUAGAGACUAGGUGCCAUCACUAUAUCCUAUAGAGGGAAUUUGAGGUCGUGACAAGUUGGUAUCAGAGCUCUAGGUUCAUAGGUGUUAUGAGUCACAAACAGGUUUAGUAGAGUCUUACGGAUUGGUACGGAGAUGUCUGUACUUAUCUUCGAGAGGCUAUGGAACUGUUAGGAAAUAUUUACUUCUUUGAUUCCUUAUCGUGCGCCUUUGUUGAUUUCAAAGUUCUAAAAAAUUGCCUUUCUAUUCUCUCAUAUAUGGUGAGGACACGCAUAACUGGAUCCGAUGAUCAGACACCCGCGCCCCCUGUUAGAGCCGCAAGAGGCUGGGGUCAGGGCAGAGGCCCAGCCAGGGGCCGAGGAAGACCACGUGGUGCAACCAGAGCACCUGUAUGAGCUGCUGCACCAGAGCCACCAGUAGCUCCAGUAUCUCCAGUUGGAGAGCAGGCACCUGAGACGCCUGUUACUACUCCUGCACUUCAGGAGACUCUUGCCUAGUUUUUGAGCAUGUUUGGCACUUUAGCUCAGGCAGGGUUAAUUCCACUUGCUCCUGCCACAUCUCAGGCCGGGGGAGGAGCACAGACUCCCGCCGCCCGUACUCCAGAGCCACGGGCCUAAGUUGACCAUGCCCUAGAGGUUAUACCAGUGCAACCAGUUGUCCCAGUUCGGCCUAAGAUUAGGACAACAGUUUCAGAUGGGGAGCAACUCAGGCUCGAAAGGUACAAGAAGUUCCACCCUCCCACUUUUAAUGGUUUAGCUUUAGAGGAUGCUCAGGGUUUUCUGGAGGAAUGUCACUGUAUCCUUCGUACUAUGGGUAUUGUGGAUUCCAGUGGGGUUUCUUUCACGACAUUCCAGUGUAGAGGAGCAGCCUACCAGUGGUGGCAGGCAUAUGAGUUGGAUAGUCCUGCUGAGGUAUCUUCACUCACUUGGACUCAAUUUUCAGAUAUGUUCUUAAGGGAGUAUGUUCCUCAAAGUUUUAGAGAUGCAUGACGCGCAGAGUUUGAGCAGUUGUGCCAGGGUUCUAUGACCGUGUCAGAGUACACGGUCCGAUUCAGUGAUUUGGCGAGGUAUGCACCAGCCUUGGUUGUUACUGUUCGAGAGCGGGUUCGCAGAUUUAUUGAGAGUCUCCACCCUAAUAUCAGAUACAGUAUGGCCCGAGAGAUAGAGAUGGAUAUCACAUACCAAUAUGUGGUAUCAAUUUCUAGGAGAUUAGGAGGUAUGCGGAUCCGGGAGAGGGAAAAGAGGGAAGCUAAGAGACCCCGAGAUUCUGGCACAUAUAAUAAUUCUCGUGCCCCAGUUGCAGCCCAUCAUGGUAGAGGCUAUGUGAGUCGUCCUAUUUAUUCAGCACUUCCAGCUUCUAGUGGUAGUCCGACUACUCCCAGACCACAUGUUCCAUAUUAUGCACCGCCAAUGUCUUCUGUACCUCCUGUACGGGGUGCUUUCAGCGGGCAGUCUAGUCGAUCAGGCCCGAGCCAGUCCCAACAUCCACAUCCUACGAGGGCUUGUUUUGAGUGUGGUGACACUCACCAUAUCAUGAGGGAUUGACCCAGAUUUAGGAGGGGUGCACCUCUACAGAUUUCUCAUGCCCCACCUAUUCCACAAGGCCCUCAGGCUUCUUAAGCCAUGAUUACUGCACCAGUUUUCACUCCACAUGCACAGCCAGCCAGAGGUGGAGGUCGGACAGGUAGAGGUUGCUCUAGAGGGGGAGGCCAGGCCAGAUAUUAGCCCUUCCUGCUAGGACAUAGGCUGUUGCAUCCGAUUCUGUUAUCACAUGUGUUAUUCCGGUCUGUCAUAGAGAUGCAUUGGUCUUAUUUGAUCCAUGCUCCACUUAUUCUUAUGUGUCAUCUUAUUUUGCAUUGUAUUUGGGCAUAUCAUGUGAUUCCUUGAGUUCUUCUAUUUAUGUAUCUACACCCGUGGGUGAAUCUACUAUNNNNNNNNNNNNNNNNNNNNNNNNNNNNNNNNNNNNNNNNNNNNNNNNNNNNNNNNNNNNNNNNNNNNNNNNNNNNNNNNNNNNNNNNNNNNNNNNNNNNNNNNNNNNNNNNNNNNNNNNNNNNNNNNNNNNNNNNNNNNNNNNNNNNNNNNNNNNNNNNNNNNNNNNNNNNNNNNNNNNNNNNNNNNNNNNNNNNNNNNNNNNNNNNNNNNNNNNNNNNNNNNNNNNNNNNNNNNNNNNNNNNNNNNNNNNNNNNNNNNNNNNNNNNNNNNNNNNNNNNNNNNNNNNNNNNNNNNNNNNNNNNNNNNNNNNNNNNNNNNNNNNNNNNNNNNNNNNNNNNNNNNNNNNNNNNNNNNNNNNNNNNNNNNNNNNNNNNNNNNNNNNNNNNNNNNNNNCAUGGACUAGUUGUCGCCCUAUCACGCUAUUCUUGAUUGUUAUGCCAAGACGGUGGUGUUGGCUAUGUCAGGUUUACCGCGGCUAGAGUGGAGAGGUACCUCAGAUCAUGUUCCUAGCAGGAUUGUUUCAUUUGUUAAAGCUCAACGAAUGGUUGAGAAGGGGUGUGGUGCGUAUCCAGCCUAUGUGAGAGAUAUUAGUAUUGAUACUCCUAUUGUGGAGUCAGUUCCUGUAGUAAGGAAUUUUCCUGAUGUAUUUCCAGCGGAUCUCCCGGGUAUGCCACCCUAUAGGGAUAUUGAUUUUGGUAAUUGAUUUGUUAACGGGCACUCAUCCCAUUUCUAUUCCACCAUAUCGUAUGGCCCCAGCAGAGUUGAAAGAAUUAAAAGAACAAUUACAGGAAUCGCUGGAUAAGGGCUUCAUUCGGCCCAGUGUAUCGCCUUGGGGUGCUCCUGUAUUAUUUGUGAAAAAGAAGGAUGUUUCUAUGCGGAUGUGUAUUGAUUACCGCCAACUGAACAAGUUUACAGUGAAGAACAUGUAUCCAUUGCCAUGUAUUGAUGACCUAUUUGAUCAGCUUCAGGGUGCCUGAGUGUUUUCUAAGAUCGACUUGCGUUCAGGCUAUCAUCAG